UCACGGGAGACACACGGCGGGUGCUAACGUCCGUCGUGAAGAGGGAAACAACCCAGACCGCCAGCUAAGGUCCCAAAGUCAUGGUUAAGUGGGAAACGAUGUGGGAAGGCCCAGACAGCCAGGAUGUUGGCUUAGAAGCAGCCAUCAUUUAAAGAAAGCGUAAUAGCUCACUGGUCGAGUCGGCCUGCGCGGAAGAUGUAACGGGGCUAAACCAUGCACCGAAGCUGCGGCAGCGACGCUGAUGCGUUGUUGGGUAGGGGAGCGUUCUGUAAGCCUGCGAAGGUGGCCUGUGAGGGUUGCUGGAGGUAUCAGAAGUGCGAAUGCUGACAUAAGUAACGAUAAAGCGGGUGAAAAGCCCGCUCGCCGGAAGACCAAGGGUUCCUGUCCAACGUUAAUCGGGGCAGGGUGAGUCGACCCCUAAGGCGAGGCCGAAAGGCGUAGUCGAUGGGAAACGGGUUAAUAUUCCCGUACUUGGUGUUACUGCGAAGGGGGGACGGAGAAGGCUAUGUUGGCCGGGCGACGGUUGUCCCGGUUUAAGCGUGUAGGUGUGUGUUCCAGGUAAAUCCGGUUCACUUUAACACUGAGGCGUGAUGACGAGGCACUACGGUGCUGAAGCAACAAAUGCCCUGCUUCCAGGAAAAGCCUCUAAGCAUCAGGUAACAUCAAAUCGUACCCCAAACCGACACAGGUGGUCAGGUAGAGAAUACCAAGGCGCUUGAGAGAACUCGGGUGAAGGAACUAGGCAAAAUGGUGCCGUAACUUCGGGAGAAGGCACGCUGACACGUAGGUGAAGUGAUUUACUCAUGGAGCUGAAGUCAGUCGAAGAUACCAGCUGGCUGCAACUGUUUAUUAAAAACACAGCACUGUGCAAACACGAAAGUGGACGUAUACGGUGUGACGCCUGCCCGGUGCCGGAAGGUUAAUUGAUGGGGUCAGCGCAAGCGAAGCUCCUGAUCGAAGCCCCGGUAAACGGCGGCCGUAACUAUAACGGUCCUAAGGUAGCGAAAUUCCUUGUCGGGUAAGUUCCGACCUGCACGAAUGGCGUAAUGAUGGCCAGGCUGUCUCCACCCGAGACUCAGUGAAAUUGAACUCGCUGUGAAGAUGCAGUGUACCCGCGGCAAGACGGAAAGACCCCGUGAACCUUUACUAUAGCUUGACACUGAACAUUGAGCCUUGAUGUGUAGGAUAGGUGGGAGGCUUUGAAGUGUGG
rnacentral:rRNA from 1 species